rnacentral:pre_miRNA from 1 species
UUAACACAAAUUUGUAUGGAGUUGGAAAGUUUGCCUACGUUUGCCGCUAGGGGCGCUGAUCCAACUGCAUACAAAUUUGAGUUG